UAGUCCACCUAUUUGUAGGCAGCAUUCAACCCUCCUGUGACUUUUUCCCCCGACAACUUUUGAGGUCUUUCUUCUGAAACAAAGAAGAAAUAGACAAACCAGAUUUGUCCUCUUGGAAAUGUGGUCCAGAUUUCUCUACUCCCAAUCUCCAAAACA
ensembl:misc_RNA predicted gene, 27544